AUUGAACGCUGGCGGCAGGCCUAACACAUGCAAGUCGAGCGGAGCGGCGGACGGGUGAGUAAUGUAUAGGAACGUGCCCAGUCGCGGGGGAUGACUACGCGAAAGCGUAGCGAAUACUGCAUCCUAUUGGAGCGGCCGAUAUCGGAUUAGCUAGUUGGUGGGGUAGCGGCUCACCAAGGCGACGAUCCGUAGCUGGUUUGAGAGGACGACCAGCCACACUGGGACUGAGACACGGCCCAGACUCCUACGGGAGGCAGCAGUGGGGAAUUUUGGACAAUGGGGGAAAGCCUGAUGCAGCCAUGCCGCGUGUGUGAAGAAGGCCUUCGGAUUGUAAAGCACUUUAAGUGGGGAGGCGUUACCAACAGAAUAAGCACCGGCUAACUCCGUGCCAGCAGCCGCGGUAAUUC
rnacentral:rRNA from 1 species